AUAUUGCACAAUGGGCUAAAGCCUGAUGCAGCAACGUCGUGUGAGUGAUGAAGUCCUUCGUGUUGUAAAGUUCUUUGUUCUGGGAUGAUAAUGACAGUACCUGAAAAACAAGCCAAGGCUAUCUACGUGCCAGUAGCCGCGGUAAUACGUAGGUGGCGAGCGUUGUCCGGAAUUACUGGGCGUAAAGUAUGCGUAGGUGGAUACUUAAGUGGGAUGUGAAAUCCCCGGGCUCAACCCGGGAACUGCAUUCCAAACUGGGUAUCUAGAGUGCAGGAGAGGAAAGCGGAAUUCCUAGUGUAGCGGUGAAAUGCGUAGAUAUUAGGAGGAACACCAGUGGCGAAGGCGGCUUUCUGGACUGUAACUGACUCUGAGGCAUGAAAGCGUGGGUAGCAAACAGG
rnacentral:rRNA from 1 species